rnacentral:rRNA from 1 species
ACUCCUACGGGAGGCAGCAGUGGGGAAUAUUGCACAAUGGGCGAAAGCCUGAUGCAGCCAUGCCGCGUGUGUGAAGAAGGCCUUCGGGUUGUAAAGCACUUUCAGCGAGGAGGAAAGGUUGACGGUUAAUACCCGUCAGCUGUGACGUUACUCGCAGAAGAAGCACCGGCUAACUCCGUGCCAGCAGCCGCGGUAAUACGGAGGGUGCGAGCGUUAAUCGGAAUUACUGGGCGUAAAGCGCAUGCAGGCGGCCAAGUCAGUCAGAUGUGAAAGCCCCGGGCUUAACCUGGGAAUUGCAUUUGAAACUGCUUGGCUAGAGUCCUUGAGAGGGGGUAGAAUUUCAGGUGUAGCGGUGAAAUGCGUAGAGAUCUGAAGGAAUACCGAGUGGCGAAGGCGGCCCCUGGCAAGAGACUGACGCUCAGAUGCGAAAGCGUGGGAGCAAACAGGAUUAGAUACCCCGUGGUAGGAUAGCG